rnacentral:tRNA from 1 species
CUCUCUGUAGCUCAGUUGGUUAGAGCGUUGCAUCGGAAUCGCAGGGCCGUAGGUUCAAUUCCUGCCAGAGGGC